GCAAAGCCCCAUAACCCCGCCCUCCCCUUCUCUCUUCAUCCCUCUUCACCACCCACCCCAUUUCCCCCUAUUUCUUCUUCCUCGGCCAACCAGCAGUGCCGAUGACGUUCCCCAACCGUCCCGAACACACUGGCCGACCUCUAGUAGCCAUGGAAGCCGACGGAAAAGCACCAAUAGCCAUGGAAGCUGACGGAAAAGCACCAAUAGCCAUGGAAGCUGACGGAAAAGCACCAGCAGCCAUAGAGAGAGAAGGAGAGAGAGAGAAGUGAGAGAAAGACGGAGAGAGUCACGCUGGCCAUUCCGACCAUAGUCCGGUGACACCAUUGGUCUCCAUUGACUCCCCUUCACUUGGGGAAGCUUUUCUGACCAGCCUCAUCGCCGGCAGCCACUAGAUUCACACAAAACGAGGAGAGAGAAAGAAAUAGGUUUUGCCGCUUUUCAACCACUUUUCCAGAGAUCUGAUAGUUGAAUCGACGAUUCAAGACCACCGAUAAACUCAGCACGACGAAACCUUCGAGAUAGAACCAACCCCGCACCGAUCGGACACCAUUUAAAAAAGGCAAUUUUUUGUGCGAUCGGAUCAGUGAUAACCCAUCAAAGUUUAGGACCAAGUUUUCGGCUGCUCGGUGGCCCGUCUCACUAUAUAAUCAAUUUUAUAGUCGGUCCUAUUAUUUUUAGACGUUCCAAAUGCAUUUCAAGUGUCAGAAUUGACAUAGCUAAACCCGAACUCUAAAUUGCAUUAUUUGUCUAACGUCAAGUUUAGAAUAAAAUUUAUAAAAUAUUUGUGGGUAGCCAAAAAAUUAUGAUUUUUUUUGUAAUAGUUUAAUAGCAUCGUUAAGGACUACAGGACACGUUUAUAAAAUUUUUUAAGUUGGUUUUGAUAAUUGUUGAAAAAUGUUAAUUUUAAGCUUUAUAAGUGAAUUGUCUGAUUACUUGAGUUCUGUUUAGUUUAAUAGGCCUAGAAGGGGCUGUGUAAUGUUGUUGAGAUAUGGACCUGAGGCCUUUGUAUAUAGAAGUGUUGUUUGAACUACUUUCUAGGUUGAGUAGAGCCUAAAUACUAGAAAAACUCUGCUAGAUUUUCAACAUAAAUUAGGAUAUCUUUUGAUUUUUUAAAUUCUUAUUUUGUAUUUGUGCUAAUAAAGUCAUUAAUAUAAUUGUUUAAGUAAUCAGAGUCAGCUUUCUUUUUUUGCCCGGCCGCUGGAGUAAAUUCUAGUUGAUCAGUGAAUAGAUAUUGAUUUUAUUUAUAAUUUUAAUAUUAUUAUAUGUUCAAGGCAUGCCUGUGCAUUCACUUAUAAAUAUUUGUAUACAGCUAAAUCUUAGGUACAGUUUGUAUGGCAUCUUUAUUUGAUAAAAUUAUUAUGUCUUCUUAAGGUAAUUUGGAGCUCUGUGUAUGUAUCAGUAUGCUUGUGGUGUGAUAUUGGAUAUGGAUAGGACGAGUAGAACGGCUGAAGCUUGACUCGCUGGAGCUCAGUCCUUUUUGUGGAUAAGUUGGGGUGAGUACGAUUUUGAGUUGAUCUCCCUAACCUCACAUUUGGAUUAUUAAGAGAAAAUUCAACUUAAGUUGAUCUCAUUGACUUGUAUUGGAUUAAGAGAACUGUAUAGAAAAUCAACUCCCAUUUUUAAAUACAAAGAUGUGACAUACGAGUGUAUGAGUACUUUAAAUUAUUUUUUGUAUAAAUAUUGUUUGAAUUUGAUUAAACA